UGGCAGGUACAGCGGGAAGCCACCUAGCGACAGGGCGCGGAACCCGAAAACCUGUCUCAGUUCGGAUUGGAGUCUGCAACCCGACUCCAUGAAGCUGGAUUCGCUAGUAAUCGCGCAUCAGCCACGGCGCGGUGAAUACGUUCCCGGGCCUUGUACACACCGCCCGUCAAGCCAUGGAAGCCGGGAGUGCCUGAAGUGCGUGACCGCAAGGAGCGUCCUAAGGCAAUACCGGUGACUGGGGCUAAGUCGUAACAAGGUAAC
rnacentral:rRNA from 1 species